AAAGAGCAUGUCAUGCUCAACCACAGACAAACAUCUGUUCCACUCCCAUGUCUUCAUUUUACAGAUAGGGAAGACAAGGGCCAGAGAGGGGAAAUGCCUCCAUUAGGGUAAUUCAGAGGGUCUCCUAACCCCCAGAGUACCCGUUCUUCCCACUCCCACCUCCACCUCAUUCAGGCAUCCCCAGUCCUUCCAAACUAUGUGGCCACUGCAGUAGCAGCACGCAUCAUAGCAGAUGUUCAAGGAAUCUGAUACUUGUGUGAUUGCGCAGCCUUCACCACCACACCCUGGAGCUUUGAGGACCUUAGUAUUCACCACAGAUGAACCGGAGACUCCUCAGCCCCCAGGUACAGCAGGAUUCCAGCUGGUCCAGAAGAAACAAGUGCAGCUGCAUGAGUAAGAGCCCAGCCUGGCCCUCAAUCAGAAUAACAGCCCCUGAGAAAAUGUUUUCCCAAUUUCACUGAUGGAAAAACAAGGAUGGUGAUGCAGUUAGUGACAGAACCAGGGCUGGAACCCGCCACUCCUGACUCCAAACUCCUGGCGCCUUCUACACGGGGCCUCGAGAAAAGUGGGACAGUGAUGGAGUUUUGUCAUGUUGCCCAGGCUGUUCUUGAACUCCUGGGCUCAAGCGAACCGCCCACUCUGGCCUCCCGAAGUGCUGGGAUUACAGGCAUGAGCCACCACACCAGCUUGAAGACUAUACUUUGACAAACUAUUUGAAGAGAACACAAUGCUAAAACAGAUUUCAGAGUUCUUGAACUCAUGCCAUUCUUCCCAACUGUCAAGAAUUCCCAGGCAAAAGGAGGUAAUGCAAGAUCAUGUAGUUCAGAAUUUUUGAAAAUUGAGUUUGAAUCCUGGUUCUGGCACUUACGGUGAUCUUGGAUGAAGUAUUUAAUGUCUACGAGCCUCUGUUUUCCCUUCCACAAAAUGUGAAUGCUACUGCCUAACUGAAGCAGCUUCAAUGAGGAUGAAAUAGAAACAAGUGAAAUCAUGAAUGUGAAAGAACAUGUGUCUAGUAAAUAUUACUUAUUUGAAUAGAUAAUAUAUAUGAAUGACAUGAUCAUAUAUAGGAUUUUUCCCUAAGCCCUAGAGUAGAGCCUUCAUACUAUGUACAAUUCUUUCCUUCCUGCAUUUUCACUAAAUUGAAACACUGCAUGUCCAAAACUAAAGGGAAAAUUAAAAACAAUCUAAUCCAAAUUCUCCCUUUUACAGAUGUGGAAACUGAGGCUCAGGGAGGCUGAGUGACUUGCCAAGGCUACCAGCUGACAAUUGUUAGAGCCAGACUAUGAACCAGGACAGCUUGACUACUGAGUCUAAGCUCUUUGCCACUCUGCACUAAUAAUUUUGAGUGGGGUCUGGUUUUAUCAAAGUCCUCCCUAAGUUCAAAUUUCUGGUUACGAUAUUUUCCUUUCUAUCACCUGCACCUAGGUGCAGAAUAAGUGCUCUACUAGUUGAAUGAAUGAAUAAAUGAAUGAUAGGAUGACCAGAGGUCAACCAAGACUUCUCUUUCCAGUUCUGAAGUUGUGCCGAAGGCAAAGUCAUAUGCUUGAAAAACUAUUGUAUUAACUCAGAGAGUUCUCCAGAGAAACAGAACCUGUGUGUGUGUGUGUGUGUGUGUGUGUGUGUGUGUGUGUGUGGAGAGAGAGAGAGGGAACAAGAAAGAGAGAUUGAUUCUUAAGGAAGUGGCUUACAUGAUUGUAAAGGCUAGCCAGUCCAAAGUCUGCAGGGUAGCCCAGCAGGCUAGAAACCUAGGGAAGACUUGAUGUUGCAUCUUGAGUCUGAAAGCAGGUUGCUGGCAGAAUUCCCCCUUCCUAGGGAAGGUCUAUCUUUUUCUUAAGGCUUUCAAUUGAUUGGAUGAGGUCCACCGACAUUAUGGAGGAUAAUCUGCUUUGCUCAAAGUUCACUGAUUUUUUUUUAAGAGGCAAGGUCUUGCUCUGUUACCCAGGCUCGAGUGCAGUGGCACAAUCAUAGAUCACUGCAGCCAAAACCAGAAUAGAAUUGUAAGACAAUAGGAUGUUUAGUCUAGAGAUGGGAGGACUCAUGUAGGCAAUGGGGAAUCUGAGCAAACCUCUGAAGUAUGCCUGGGACAGAGGGAGCCGACCUAGAAUCAGAGAGUGUCAGCUGAGAAGAAGCAAAUCUCAGUUCACCCAAAGAAAGAAUUUUUUUUAAAGAGCUGUCCGAAAUUGGACAGAACAGGCUUUCUUGGGAUGUCAUGGGUUCUCUAACACUGGAGGUAUGGGAGCAGAGAGAUAUCGCAGAAGGUUUUCAUUGAGACGGUGGAAGACUGGGGUAUGGGGGCAAGGAGUGUGUCACUGGCACAAGGUAAAGGUACUAAACUGGCACUAAACAGUACUAAACCAUGACUUCUAGUCCUGGCUCUGUCACUAGUUUGCUAUGUGACCUUGAGGAAGUCCCUUCUUCUUUCUAUAUCUUCAGGCUCCAGAAGUGAAAAGAAGAUAGUUCAGUUAAAUGUUCUCUGUAGUCACUUGCACCUCCAAAACAUUUUUAAAGCUAAGGCUCAAGGAUCUUAAGAUUACUACAGUUUUUAAUUAAAAGCAUACCUGUGUUAGGGUGAUCUAUUUUGUUUCACUGAUGAAUCUGUCCUGGCUCAGACAUUAGUUUCUCACUUACAGGCCCCUAAACAGCUCGGGUCUUCCCAAAAGUCAGGCAAUAAGCACCAGGACUCCUGAAAUUACUAGUCUCCCUCUCUUCCCCUUUCUUCCUGAAAAAAUUCCCAAAGUUCUGUUUGUUCUAUAAAUCCUUGGGCAAAAUGCCUUCUUACUCUUUGGGGGUAGCUCCACUCACUUGCUAACUCAAAAGAAAUAACCUUCUAGCCUGAACAUAAGAUACAGGAAUUUUUAUUUUAAUUAAAACUUUUGUAUUAUGGCUGAAAGACUUCAUUGAAUUAAUGAUAAGGAAGGAUGGUGAAAUGAUGAAAUUUCUCGAACAUGUGGAAUUUGAGAUAAAACAAAGUGCUAAGCAGACAGGGAGAAAGAAGAGGAAAUGGAAGCGUUCUGUUUUAUAGCUUUGAAGUGGAGUGAUAGUCAUAUGGUCUCAUUAGUGUGGUUAUAAUUAUUUGAAUCAAUUCUCAUGGCUUAAUUCCAAAGUGUUCAAUUAUUACACAGUCAUGUAGCUAGAGAUAAUAGAGUGUCUAUUACCAGAAGAUAUCUCUGUGCAGUCAAAUUUUUGAAGUAAACUUUGGUCUCAAAUAUU